AUUUCGCGGUGGCUUCACUUGUUAUGAUGUCUUGAGCAAUUCAGUUUUUUAUUAGUAGUUGUAGCCAUUGCAGCGUGGAUGUCGUCUCAGCUGUUACUGCGGGAGAAUGUGUUUGCGUGAACGCGCAUUGUGCCUGAUCUUAGUUUUAGCUGGUGGAACAGGUGUAUUUAUUUAUCGUAAAGUUGGACGUUGCAAAGCCCAGUGUAGGGCUUACACCCAGCCCCUAAGCAGCAGGAAAAAACACCAUGACAUCAUGUCCCCUCCCCACUGAAAGUGAAGCGCUCCAGUAACCCGGUUCCUCUCCUAGCUGUCAACAGGAUUAUUCACGACGGUAGUAGUUUCUUGCAUAGGAGGGGCACUACAGCCACUUGUUAAGAAAUACUUAUCAUCAGGAAAUACGCCAUAAGCACGAAACGAGCUACUGAAGUGGAUGAGCUGUGCUACGUCUACAACAAUACGGAUCUUCUGCUCUUUCCUAAAGUUCUACUUACAGUGACAGUAGAAACAAAACCUUAAAAUAUUGAAUUUUCCCCAUCCAAUGGAAGGCCCAUCCAUUGUGCCCAUGGUUGUGCCCCCGAUAGUGUUUUUCGCAGUGUUUGUUUCUGUGUCCAUCAUCUGGUUCUGCCUGCUGAAAAAACAUAUGAGACACACGCAGCAAGCUGUGCAGUCAAGAACUACAGUCAUGACUACACAUCACCCACAGUACUCACAUCACCAACCUAUGGCUACUUAUCUACAGCCAGCUUAUGGAGGGCAACCCAUUCUGCCUGGACCAUGUCAACAAAUGUAUGCACCGGGAUCACCACCCACAUAUCAGGAGGCUGCAGGACAGUUUCCUGGUCCUUACAGCCAGGUUGCAUAUGAUGGUGGUCAGAACAUGUACCCUCUACAACCACUGGUUCAACCAGCACUUCCCACAAACUACACCUCACCUCAACCCCCGUACAACCCUGGUUAUGUGGAAUGAUCAAAGACCAGUUAACCACCCAAAAAAUGGCCAGUUAUCGAUGCAGGAUCAUGGAGAAUUGUUCGUUUCCACACUGCUUUGCGUUUGUGAUUUGUGCAUCUACUACAGACUCUGAUAACACUGAGCAUAAUAGUAUUACUGUCGUUCGUGUAUGUUUGUCAUUUCUAAGUUUAUACUUUGCUUUGUAAACUUGUUUUUUUAAUUUAAUCCAGCCAUGAGCCAGUGUUUCUCUUCAUUUUUACCUCUGUUCAAAAGAUGAUGUAUCAUCUCUAUGUGUCAAAACAAUCCUUUGUAUAAUUUUAUUGUAGUUUUUGAAAAGUAGUUUUCUAUUAAACAAAUCAACCAGUCGUUGAGCUGACUUCUGGCUUUCCAAACUUACAUAUUGGGAAAAUGAGUAUCUUGGACUGGACAGAUUCAGGUUUCCUUGAUGUCCAGAAAUCCCAAAUUUUUAGUCAAACUGCUACCAAAGAUAAUGGCCUCCAGAUUUACUCAAACAUGCAGGAUAUGUCUGUUGUUAAGAAAUGGACCAAUUCCCAAUCUGGAUGGGAUUCUAGACAUAUGCUUUUCAAAGUUCACCAGGAUUUUGAGAGAAGAACAAUAGACAAAAUGAUCCAAAAUUUGUACCGUCACUGUCAUGUUUUAAGACUGUAAACUUGUGUUUGUUUGUGAUUCAUUUCAUACAAAUGAUUGCUGCAAGAGUUGAACAAGAAACUUUUUUUGGUUAAAGUUUACUUGUUCUUCACAAUUGUCUUGAAGAUUGUUUUUGUUGCUAGGGAAUAGGCCAGUGAGUUUUCUGUUUCUUUGGACAUGUAUCUGUGUAUUAUCUGAUGUCUGUCAGAUUUAGACAUUGAUAUAAAUAUUUGGAAUUACACUGGUGGU